rnacentral:rRNA from 1 species
CACGUAGGCACCAAGCGUUGUCCGGAUUUAUUGGGCGUAAAGAGCUCGUAGGCGGUUCAGUAAGUCAGGUGUGAAAUCUUUGGGCUUAACCCAAAGCGUGCACUUGAUACUGCUGUGACUUGAGUUCGGUAGAGGAGUGGGGAAUUCCUAGUGUAGCGGUGAAAUGCGCAGAUAUUAGGAGGAACACCGGUGGCGAAGGCGCCACUCUGGGCCGAAACUGACGCUGAGGAGCGAAAGCGUGGGUAGCAAACAGG